rnacentral:rRNA from 1 species
UAAAAAAAGGUAAGCUACUAAGAGCGAAUGGUGGAUGCCUUGACUGGUAAAGGCGAUGAAGGACGUACUAGACUGCGAUAAGCUACGGGGAGCUGUCAAGAAGCUUUGAUCCGUAGAUUUCCGAAUGGGGCAACCCAAUGUAUAGAGAUAUACAUUACCUAUAUAGGAGCGAACGAGGGGAAUUGAAACAUCUUAGUACCCUCAGGAAAAGAAAUCAAUAGAGAUUGCGUCAGUAGCGGCGAGCGAAAGCGCAAGAGGGCAAACCCAGUGCUUGCACUGGGGGUUGUAGGACUGCAAUGUGCAAGAGCUGAGUUUAGCAGAACAUUCUGGAAAGUAUAGCCAUAGAGGGUGAUAGUCCCGUAUGCGAAAAACAAAGCUUAGCUAGCAGUAUCCUGAGUAGGGCGGGACACGAGGAAUCCUGUCUGAAUCCGGGUCGACCACGAUCCAACCCUAAAUACUAAUACCAGAUCUAUAGUGCACAAGUACCGUGAGGGAAAGGUGAAAAGAACUGAGGUGAUCAGAGUGAAAUAGAACCUGAAACCAUUUGCUUACAAUCAUUCAGAGCACUAUGUAGCAAUACAGUGUGAUGGACUGCCUUUUGCAUAAUGAGCCUGCGAGUUGUGGUGUCUGGCAAGGUUAAGCAAACGCGAAGCCGUAGCGAAAGCGAGUCUGAAUAGGGCGCUUAGUCAGAUGCUGCAGACCCGAAACGAAGUGAUCUAUCCAUGAGCAAGUUGAAGCUAGUGUAAGAACUAGUGGAGGACUGAACCCAUAGGCGUUGAAAAGCCCCGGGAUGACUUGUGGAUAGGGGUGAAAGGCCAAUCAAACUUCGUGAUAGCUGGUUCUCUCCGAAAUAUAUUUAGGUAUAGCGUUGUGUCGUAAUAUAAGGGGGUAGAGCACUGAAUGGGCUAGGGCAUACACCAAUGUACCAAACCCUAUCAAACUCCGAAUACCUUAUAUGUAAUCACAGCAGUCAGGCGGCGAGUGAUAAAAUCCGUCGUCAAGAGGGAAACAACCCAGACUACCAGCUAAGGUCCCUAAAUCUUACUUAAGUGGAAAACGAUGUGAAGUUACUUAAACAACCAGGAGGUUGGCUUAGAAGCAGCCAUCCUUUAAAGAAAGCGUAAUAGCUCACUGGUCUAGUGAUUUUGCGCGGAAAAUAUAACGGGGCUAAAGUAAGUACCGAAGCUGUAGACUUGCACACAACUUAGAUUAUUUAAGUUUAGAAUAUGAGAAACUAAGUUAUAUGUUUAGUUAUAUUUUUACUGAUUUUUAUAGAGUAAAGAUAGAAAUAAAACUUAGUAAAAUCAGUAAAAAUAUUCUUAGGCUAAAGUUAAGUAGUUUAAGUUGUGUGCAAGUGGUAGGAGAGCGUUCUAUUUGCGUCGAAGGUAUACCGGUAAGGAGUGCUGGAGCGAAUAGAAGUGAGCAUGCAGGCAUGAGUAGCGAUAAUUAAUGUGAGAAUCAUUAACGCCGUAAACCCAAGGUUUCCUACGCGAUGCUCGUCAUCGUAGGGUUAGUCGGGUCCUAAGUCGAGUCCGAAAGGGGUAGACGAUGGCAAAUUGGUUAAUAUUCCAAUACCAACAUUAGUGUGCGAUGGAAGGACGCUUAGGGCUAAGGGGGCUAGCGGAUGGAAGUGCUAGUCUAAGGUUGUAGGAGGUUAUACAGGCAAAUCCGUAUAACAAUACUCCGAGAACUGAAAGGCUUUUUGAAGUCUUCGGAUGGAUAGAAGAACCCCUGAUGCCGUCGAGCCAAGAAAAGUUUCUAAGUUUAGCUAAUGUUGCCCGUACCGUAAACCGACACAGGUGGGUGGGAUGAGUAUUCUAAGGCGCGUGGAAGAACUCUCUUUAAGGAACUCUGCAAAAUAGCACCGUAUCUUCGGUAUAAGGUGUGGUUAGCUUCGUACUAGGAUUUACUCCGAAAGCGAAGAAACUUACAACAAAGAGUCCCUCCCGACUGUUUACCAAAAACACAGCACUCUGCUAACUCGUAAGAGGAUGUAUAGGGUGUGACGCCUGCCCGGUGCUCGAAGGUUAAUUGAUGGGGUUAGCAUUAGCGAAGCUCUUGAUCGAAGCCCGAGUAAACGGCGGCCGUAACUAUAACGGUCCUAAGGUAGCGAAAUUCCUUGUCGGUUAAAUACCGACCUGCAUGAAUGGCGUAACGAGAUGGGAGCUGUCUCAAAGAGGGAUCCAGUGAAAUUGUAGUGGAGGUGAAAAUUCCUCCUACCCGCGGCAAGACGGAAAGACCCCGUGGACCUUUACUACAGCUUGACACUGCUACUUGGAUAAGAAUGUGCAGGAUAGGUGGGAGGCUUUGAGUAUAUGACGCCAGUUGUAUAUGAGCCAUUGUUGAGAUACCACUCUUUCUUAUUUGGGUAGCUAACCAGCUUGAGUUAUCCUCAAGUGGGACAAUGUCUGGUGGGUAGUUUGACUGGGGCGGUCGCCUCCCAAAUAAUAACGGAGGCUUACAAAGGUUGGCUCAGAACGGUUGGAAAUCGUUCGUAGAGUAUAAAGGUAUAAGCCAGCUUAACUGCAAGACAUACAAGUCAAGCAGAGACGAAAGUCGGUCUUAGUGAUCCGGUGGUUCUGUGUGGAAGGGCCAUCGCUCAAAGGAUAAAAGGUACCCCGGGGAUAACAGGCUGAUCUCCCCCAAGAGCUCACAUCGACGGGGAGGUUUGGCACCUCGAUGUCGGCUCAUCGCAUCCUGGGGCUGGAGCAGGUCCCAAGGGUAUGGCUGUUCGCCAUUUAAAGCGGUACGCGAGCUGGGUUCAGAACGUCGUGAGACAGUUCGGUCCCUAUCUGCCGUGGGCGUAAGAAGAUUGAAGAGAUUUGACCCUAGUACGAGAGGACCGGGUUGAACAAACCACUGGUGUAGCUGUUGUUCUGCCAAGAGCAUCGCAGCGUAGCUAAGUUUGGAAAGGAUAAACGCUGAAAGCAUCUAAGCGUGAAGCCAACUCUAAGAUGAAUCUUCUCUAAGCUCUCUAGAAGACUACUAGUUUGAUAGGCUGGGUGUGUAAUGGAUGAAAGUCCUUUAGCUGACCAGUACUAAUAGAGCGUUUGGCUUAUCUUUAAUAAAGCAU